GAUGAACGCUAGCGGCAGGCCUAAUACAUGCAAGUCGAACGAGAUUGAGGAGCUUGCUCCUCAUGAAAGUGGCGCACGGGUGCGUAACGCGUAUGCAAUCUACCUUAAUCAGGGGGAUAGCCCGGAGAAAUCCGGAUUAAUACCGCAUAUCGUUAUUUUAUGGCAUCAUAGAAUAACCAAACAUUUAUGGGAUUAAGAUGAGCAUGCGUGACAUUAGUUAGUUGGUGAGGUAACGGCUCACCAAGACUACGAUGUCUAGGGGAUCUGAGAGGAUGACCCCCCACACUGGUACUGAGACACGGACCAGACCCCUACGGGAGGCAGCAGUAAGGAAUAUUGGUCAAUGGGCGCAAGCCUGAACCAGCCAUGCCGCGUGCAGGAAGACGGCCCUAUGGGUUGUAAACUGCUUUUAUUCGGGAAUAAACCUCUUUACGUGUAAGGAGCUGAAUGUACCGAAGGAAUAAGGAUCGGCUAACUCCGUGCCAGC
rnacentral:rRNA from 1 species